rnacentral:rRNA from 1 species
UACGUAGGGGGCAAGCGUUGUCCGGAUUUAUUGGGCGUAAAGAGCGUGUAGGCGGCCUGAAAGGUCAGCUGUGAAAACUCGAGGCUCAACCUCGAGACGUCGGUUGAAACCAUCUGGCUAGAGUCCGGAAGAGGAGAGUGGAAUUCCCGGUGUAGCGGUGAAAUGCGCAGAUAUCGGGAAGAACACCCGUGGCUAAGGCGGCUCUCUAGUACGGUACUGACGCUGAGACGCGAAAGCGUGGGGAGCGAACAGG